rnacentral:rRNA from 1 species
AAAUUGAAGAGUUUGAUCAUGGCUCAGAUUGAACGCUGGCGGCAGGCCUAACACAUGCAAGUCGAGCGGCAGCGGGAAAGUAGCUUGCUACUUUUGCCGGCGAGCGGCGGACGGGUGAGUAAUGCCUGGGGAUCUGCCCAGUCGAGGGGGAUAACAGUUGGAAACGACUGCUAAUACCGCAUACGCCUACGGGGGAAAGAAGGGGACCUUCGGGCCUUUCGCGAUUGGAUGAACCCAGGUGGGAUUAGCUAGUUGGUGGGGUAAUGGCUCACCAAGGCGACGAUCCCUAGCUGGUCUGAGAGGAUGAUCAGCCACACUGGAACUGAGACACGGUCCAGACUCCUACGGGAGGCAGCAGUGGGGAAUAUUGCACAAUGGGGGAAACCCUGAUGCAGCCAUGCCGCGUGU